rnacentral:rRNA from 1 species
AAUGAACGCAGGCGGCAGGCCUAACACAUGCAAGUCGAACGGAUCCUUCGGGAUUAGUGGCGGACGGGUGAGUAACGCGUGGGAACAUACCCUUUGGUACGGAAUAGCCUCGGGAAACUGGGAGUAAUACCGUAUGUGGUCGAGAGACGAAAGAUUUAUCGCCAAAGGAUUGGCCCGCGUUGGAUUAGGUAGUUGGUGGGGUAAUGGCCUACCAAGCCGACGAUCCAUAGCUGGUUCGAGAGGAUGAUCAGCCACACUGGGACUGAGACACGGCCCAGACUCCUACGGGAGGCAGCAGUGGGGAAUCUUAGACAAUGGGGGAAACCCUGAUCUAGCCAUGCCGCGUGAUCGAUGAAGGCCUUAGGGUUGUAAAGAUCUUUCAGGUGGGAAGAUAAUGACUGUACCACCAGAAGAAGCCCCGGCUAACUCCGUGCCAGCCGCCGCAGUAAAAC